rnacentral:antisense_RNA from 1 species
GCUCUGAGUAGGCCGACAAUCAUAGGCGAGUAGACCUUAGGCGAGAGAAGGCAUGUACUUUCCCUAAGAAGCGGGAGGAGACAAAUAUAGGGCAGUGGAAUGAGAAGAACCUCGCGGGAUGGGAGGCCGCGGAGGGAAGCGCCGUCUUUGGUUACCUGGGGAGCGGGAGCAGCUGCGGAUCCCUUAUGAAGUGCCCGGAUGAAGCUCCAGCGCUCACGCGCUUUCCGCAUUGAGUGCAGCGCCAUCUUGAGAAGGGCGGAGCCGCCUUGUUCGGAAUGACGUCUGUUCAGAGAGCCAAUCCCAGUCUCGCGACUCCUGCUUGCUGGGCGCGGCCUGGGCCUCCAGGCUGCGCAGCGCAGCCGCUAUCGGGGGAGUGCAGUUUUUGCCAAGUAGUCACAAUGAUUUGUAUGACAGAUGCUAGCCCAAGAGAGAGUUCCAGAAGAGGGCUACCUAACAGGUGCUGUGGCAUUUAGAAGAGGAAUGGAGCCACUGUCUACGCACAGCUUGCAGGGGAACAGGAGAGUCAGCCUGAGAAGGAAAUGUGAUGAUGGAAACAGAGGUUGGAAGAUGGAAGGGGACCCAGAGCCAAGGAAUACAGAUGGAGUCUUGCUCUGCUGCCCAGGCUGGAGUGCAGUGGAGCGAUCUUGGCUCACUGCAACCUCCGUCUUCCAGGUUCAAGCGAUUCUCCUGCUUCAGCCUCCCAGGUAGUUGGGAUUACAGGCACCCACUACACCCGGCUA